GAAACCCCAGUCAAGCGUUGGUUUACCAAAGGUUGUUCAAGAUGGUGAUUGUCAGGGUUUAGGGUGAUUACGUAGAGGAACCAACGGUGUUUGGUUCUCGAUGGUAAAGUAUAUCUGCACACCUUUGUUGGUUUCAGAAUUGCAUAGAUUUUGGGCAUUUUUUUGUGUGUGUAAGCAUCGUUUUCAUUGAUUUGUCAUAUAUGUUCAUAUUUGGAUUUAUACAAUUUUCUAAGUUAAUCUUUCCUGUUUGCUGACUCUGUUUUCCUCCAUCUAUCUCUCUCUUUUUGUAGUUAGCCUUUCAAUCAAUGAAGAAUCUUGUUUCAUUUGAGUUAAACAUUGUUGCUUCUACAAUUACUUGAUUUUCCUUUUGUGAGUUAUCUAUAUAUUUUGUAACUAUUUGGCAUAUGAUAUGACAAUCAACUUAGACAUAUUCUGUUAGUUUGCGAGCAAAUAGUGGUAAUAGGUUGGAAAUGAAUGUAUACGAUUGUCGGAUUAUACAAUGCCUUCAACUCCUGAUCUGAGAAGGUGCAUACAUGUGGAUUUACAUGAGGUCGGCUCGACCCGUUUCAUCCUAAACAACAUGCAAAUUCAGUUUGGUUUAGAUGGUCGCGUCAAGACAAAUCAUUUUAUAUAUUUAAUUCUCAAUUGUAAGUUGCAUUGUCUUAUCUUUUUUGAGUAGUUACUAACAAAAUAUGUGUUUGUUUGUAUAUAUUUGCCUACAAAAUA